UACAGAGGUCCCAAGCGUUGUUCGGAUUCACUGGGCGUAAAGGGUGCGUAGGCGGUGGAAUAAGUCUGAUGUGAAAGCUCUGGGCCUAACCCAGAAAUUGCAUUGGAAACUAUUUCACUAGAGUCUCUAAGGGGAGGCUGGAAUUCUCGGUGUAGCAGUGAAAUGCGUAGAUAUCGAGAGGAACACCAGUAGCGAAAGCGAGCCUCUGGGAGAGAACUGACGCUGAGGCACGAAAGCUAGGGGAUCAAACAGG
rnacentral:rRNA from 1 species